GAUGAACGCUGGCGGCGUGCCUAAUACAUGCAAGUCGAGCGAACAGACGAGGAGCUUGCUCCUCUGACGUUAGCGGCGGACGGGUGAGUAACACGUGGAUAACCUACCUAUAAGACUGGGAUAACUUCGGUAAACCGGAGCUAAUACCGGAUAAUAUAUUGAACCGCAUGGUUCAAUAGUGAAAGACGGUUUUGCUGUCACUUAUAGAUGGAUCCGCGCCGCAUUAGCUAGUUGGUAAGGUAACGGCUUACCAAGGCAACGAUGCGUAGCCGACCUGAGAGGGGGAUGGGCCACACUGGAACUGAGACACGGUCCAGACUCCUACGGGAGGCAGCAGUAGGGAAUCUUCCGCAAUGGGCGAAAGCCUGACGGAGCAACGCAGCGUGAGUGAUGAAGGUCUUCGGAUCGUAAAACUCUGUUAUUAGGGAAGAACAAAUGUGUAAGUAACUAUGCACGUCUUGACGGUACCUAAUCAGAAAGCAACGGCUAACUACGUG
rnacentral:rRNA from 1 species